rnacentral:rRNA from 1 species
CUUUUGCUGGUGACCGGCGCACGGGUGAGUAACACGUAUCCAACCUGCCUUUACUCGGGGAUAGCCUUUCGAAAGAAAGAUUAAUACCCGAUAGCAUAAUGAUUCCGCAUGGUUUCAUUAUUAAAGGAUUCCGGUAAAGGAUGGGGAUGCGUUCCAUUAGGUUGUUGGUGAGGUAACGGCUCACCAAGCCUUCGAUGGAUAGGGGUUCUGAGAGGAAGGUCCCCCACAUUGGAACUGAGACACGGUCCAA